rnacentral:rRNA from 1 species
GGCGGAAUUCGUGGUGUAGCGGUGAAAUGCUUAGAUAUCACGAAGAACUCCGAUUGCGAAGGCAGCCUGCUAAGCUGCAACUGACAUUGAGGCUCGAAAGUGUGGGUAUCAAACAGGAUUAGAUACCCUGGUAGUCCACACGGUAAACGAUGAAUACUCGCUGUUUGCGAUAUACUGCAAGCGGCCAAGCGAAAGCGUUAAGUAUUCCACCUGGGGAGUACGCCGGCAACGGUGAAACUCAAAGGAAUUGACGGGGGCCCGCACAAGCGGAGGAACAUGUGGUUUAAUUCGAUGAUACGCGAGGAACCUUACCCGGGCUUAAAUUGCAGAUGAAUUACGGUGAAAGCCGUAAGCCGCAAGGCAUCUGUGAAGGUGCUGCAUGGUUGUCGUCAGCUCGUGCCGUGAGGUGUCGGCUUAAGUGCCAUAACGAGCGCAACCCUUAUCUUUAGUUACUAACAGGUCAUGCUGAGGACUCUAGAGAGACUGCCGUCGUAAGAUGUGAGGAAGGUGGGGAUGACGUCAAAUCAGCACGGCCCUUACGUCCGGGGCUACACACGUGUUACAAUGGGGGGUACAGAAGGCAGCUACCUGGUGACAGGAUGCUAAUCCCAAAAACCUCUCUCAGUUCGGAUCGAAGUCUGCAACCCGACUUCGUGAAGCUGGAUUCGCUAGUAAUCGCGCAUCAGCCA